GCCAACAUAGCUCAGCUGGUAGAGCAGCUCAUUCGUAAUGAGCAGGCCAACGGUUCAAGUCCGUUUGUUGGCU
rnacentral:tRNA from 1 species